rnacentral:lncRNA from 1 species
AACAAAAAUAAAAAAUCCCUUUCUGAAUAUUCAUUUGGAUUUUUGUGAGAGCAGAGGUAAAUUCGUGUGUUCACUCUGUUGCCUUUUAUAGAAAGCCUCCAUUUAAAAGAAAUAUAUAUAAAUAACUGUCUAGUUAUCCAUAUUUUUUUUUGCUUCCAGAUACUGAUGUAAAGAAUUAUGCUAAUAAUUUUCCUAUAACUAAAUGAAUAUUGCACCAGAGAAUAAGACCAACAUCAAUACAGCACGAUAUAUUAAUACGCUCUUAAAGUCUGUUUGUAAGUAGUUUAUUUUUGUAUCUGUAUUCAUGAGUGAGAUUGGAUUCUGGUUUUCUUUUUUGGGGCUGUAUUUUUCAGGAUUAUGCCAGCAUCAUAAAGUGAUUCGGGAAGCUUUUAUGUUCUCCGAAACAUUUUAUGUGACAGGAGUAUCUGUCCCUUGGGUUUGUAUGAAUUUAUCUAUGUAACCAUAUUAGUCUGGUUCUUUUUAGAAAGCAUUUCAUUGACAACUUUUUAUUGCUUUUGUGGCUAUUGAUCUGUUCAGUUUUAUUUUUCUUCUUGACAUGUUCUUUUUUUGAGAGUCAUUCAUGUCUUUGAGUUUAUAAUUUAUUAGACUAUAAUGGUGGAUAAUAAUUUCUUAUUAAUUAAAAAAUCCUUAUCAUAUUUUUGUGUCCCUUAUUAUGGAGCUCUUCAAUUUAAUUACUCUUUAAAGACCUUGGUUGGGUAAAUAUCAUUUUUUCAACUUCUCAGAGGGUUGUUCUUGGACAUGGGUCUCAGAACCAUGGGUUGAUAGUUUAUGGUGCAGUUGUAGAGAGCUUGCCUAGCAUGCAUGAUGUUCUGGGUUUAACCAAUACACUGCAAAUAUGAGCAAAUAAAGU